rnacentral:rRNA from 1 species
AGAGUUUGAUCAUGGCUCAGGAUGAACGCUAGCUACAGGCUUAACACAUGCAAGUCGAGGGGAAACGACAUCGAAAGCUUGCUUUUGAUGGGCGUCGACCGGCGCACGGGUGAGUAACGCGUAUCCAACCUGCCCACCACUUGGGGAUAACCUUGCGAAAGUAAGACUAAUACCCAAUGACGUCUCUAGAAGACAUCUGAAGGAGAUUAAAGAUUUAUCGGUGAUGGAUGGGGAUGCGUCUGAUUAGCUUGUUGGCGGGGUAACGGCCACAAGGCGACGAUCAGUAGGGGUUCUGAGAGGAAGGUCCCCANAUUGGAACUGAGACACGGUCCAAACUCAGUACGGGAGGCA